GGACUGGUAGUCAUGGCAACAGGGGCACAUCCAGAAGCCAGAGCUGGAAAACAGAGCAGGUCAAAUGUGGAACUGGCUUUUGGCUAGAGUGGAGAGGUGAUGCCAGAAGACCAGACUAGGUAGAGGGCCCAGGGACAGUCCAUGGUGCCCAGGCAGCAAGGGAAGUCCUGGUGCCCAGGCCAGAUGGCAUUCUGCUGGAUGUCUGGUUGCGAUUCCAGCUGGCUCAAAGUCCCAUUUGCUCCUCAUGCCACAGAUUCGUCUACCUGGCUCUGAUAUUCUGUUUUCUUUUUUUUUCUUCCUCCCCAUAUUUCAGAUGCCCUCAAAGCAGCCUCAUGAAGCUAUUUUGCCAGAAGCUCUGUAAGGUGACCCUAUUGUAGAAAUGCGAGAGUGCCUUUUGAGAAUCUAUUGAAAUCCCCCCAGCAAUAUGCAAAUGAGCACAGAAACCUGCAAGUAAUAUACCUAGACCCAUGGACCUAGUGGAGCUGAUGAAUCAUAGGUUAAGAACUCCAAAAUUAUCAUGUUUUAUUACUUAGUAGCUUUUAUAACUCCUUUUGAAUUACAAAAUCUUUCUAGGCUCUGUCUACACAAACAAGUGGCCAUAAUUGAACUUGAUCUUUUUUGCCAUAGAGGACCACCACCAUUUUACUCCCCUAAAUACAUAAUUUAUUCCUGACAUCUUAAAUAUACAUCUAGUACUAUGCACAGCAUUGUGUUAUACAUUACUAUACCUCCCCAAUAUAAUUUGAAGGCAACCUGUACUUAGCUUCACAACAAAAUCAAUCUUAAUAAGUAUUUGGCUAUGUAAUAUUAACUAAGUAUUGAGGAAAAAAUCCCUGUAAAUGUGGUCACGAAGCCUAGAUUUAAAUAACUGUAAUUUAAGCUUGUUCUAAAGAUUUAUGACCAAUAGCAAAUACAAAGAAUUAUGUAUUUCUUUGUAAAUCUAAUUUUACAGUGGAAUAAACAUAAUGAAUAAAAUCCACUGAAUGAUUGGAAACAAUAUGAGCUUUGGGAGCUUGGGAAUUAAAUUACUUAUUUGUUUCUCUGUCUCUUUAGAUUCUACAAUUUUAAUUCCUAGUGGCCCAAGCUGAGUAAGGCAGAUUAGUAUGAUCAUUUUUCUGUCUCUUCCUUUAGGACAGUUUGAAAAGGAGCCCAAAUGCCACAACAUUUUGUUUUGUGCAUCAAUGCCACGUCUGUAAUGGCACCUAAAAACUGCUCUCCAGUGAAGGACCCUGACCCUGAAAUACUGGUAUAUCUUUCAUUACUGUCAUCCAAACUUCAUUCAUAAGAGGAUUCACUCAUUCUUCAUUCAUUCACUGGAAAACUAAGCAAUCUAAAUAGCCCAGUUGUUUGAUUUAAGCAAUUCAUAGUGAGAUGUAAAUUUCUUGGUGAAAUAUACAUAGUAAUAUGCAGUUGUGAUGGAGAGAGCCCUCUAAAAAUUUCAAGAGAAUCUGGCUUUCAUCGGUGAAAAUUUGGGGAGCAACUCAUUAUUGAAAAUCAUUUCUUCUCUGAAGAAUCUCUCUGUCACUUCUUUGCAAAGAUAUAUGUUGCAAAGAUAUAUGCAAAUAUAUAGAUUUAGUAUGCAUAAAUCGGCUCGUUAUAAUACAGAGGUAUUUGUAUUCUUAGCCCCAAUUAUUUUUAAAUCUAGAGUUUUCAACAGGUUUUACUCUUUCAUAGUAAUAUUAUGGUCUCAGGUUUGUUUUCAAUAAUUUCUACUCCAUUGCUUUAGGAUAACUAAUUUGAUAGACAUAAAAUUUUCAUACUCUCUAGGAAAAUAUUUCACCUAAAUAUGAGAUUUAUUUAAUCUCAUGUUGCAUUUGGCUUUAAAUUUGACUUAACCUAACUGAAUGUAUUUUAAUUGUUUCACAUCUUACGGUAAGCAAAUGCAAUAUCUACAUAUGCUCUUGUGCCUCUAAAGCUACAUCAUGAAAUUUGUUUCCAGGGUUACACCUAGAGAGACAAAAUUUAGUUCCUAAUUGGUCUGAGACAUAAACAAUAAAGAUGUAAAGAUAACACUAUCUCUUCAUUUCUGUCUCUCCAUAUCUAUUGUUUUCUUUAAGAAAUAACUCACAGUAACUUUCCAACCUCAGCAAACAAGUAUGAAAACUCAAGUUGUUUUCACUCUGAAAAUGAACCAGUUUCCAGCCAUUGUGUUUUAUGUCGGAACUGUCUAACUUAAAUUGCAUGUCCUUGGGGCAGAGAGCAGCUUUCUAUUUUUUUUUUUUAACUGAGCCAAGUAUCCUGUCACUGUUCUACAAAACAAUAAAUAAUGAAGUAAAUUGAAGAUGUGUGAAUUGUGCCACCUUGACAGAAAAUAGAGCCGAUGUUCUCGGAGGUGUUAACAACAGUAUUUCCCAACAAGCAGCCGGAGCCUCUCUCCAGCACCUCAGAAACCCAAACAGCAAUGGAGGAUAAGAAAGUGGAAGCAAAGACAGAAGAGAAUAUUUAUUUGGGAUUAACUUGUAGUUACCUACUUGAGUACCUUUGUCUGUACUAAACAGACAAAGGAAAUGAUGGCUCUUUUAACCAUCAGGCAUAUUGUAUAAACAUCAUUCUCUUUCAUUCCACAUUGGGAAAAACAAACCCUUUCCCCACAUUUUACUUUGUGUAUAAAGUGUGUUAAUAAAACUAAAUGUGUGUUAACAAAUGUGUUUUAAUAAAAACUAAUGUAUCUAAUAAAACUAAAAAUAGGUGAUCAUAUUUGUUCAAAAGUUCUUGGUUUUUCCUGUAAACAAGGCAUAGAGAGCUUUGUGUGCUUCAGUUUCCACCAAAAGGUACCUUGUAAGAGAGGACUUCCUUGAACACUAUAUGUAAACUAACUCUGGUCCUCUAGCUCGUCCGCACAGUCAUUCUUCCUCUAUUCCGUGUUAUUUUCCUUAUCAAAUUCACCCCAUCUGAAAUUAUGUUCUCAGUUCUUUUUUAAAAAAAUUAUAUCACAUUAUGAGCAUAUACCUUUCUGUGAGGGAAAUGUCUUUGUAUUGUUUUGCUAGCACCUAAUAAAAUUCUGCAACAUAGUGGAUUUCAGUCAAUAUUUGUAGAAAAGUAAAAGAAAUACAACUUUAAAACAAACUAAGUGGUGGCGGGGCAUGGUGGUUCACACUU